ACACCGAAUCCCCAAGCGUUAUCCGGAUUUAUUGGGCGUAAAGGGUCCGUAGGCGGCCCGCCAGGUUUUCUGUUAAAUCUCUAGGGCUUAACCUUAGAACUGCAGAAAAAACCGGUGGGCUAGAGGGCGUUAGAGGUUGAUGGAACGCUCGGUGUAGGGGUGGAAUCCGUUGAUAUCGAGCGGAACACCAAAAGCGAAGGCAUUCAACUGGGGCGGCCCUGACGCUGAGGGACGAAAGCAUGGGUAGCAAAAAGGAUUAGAGACACGAGUAGUCC
rnacentral:rRNA from 1 species